rnacentral:rRNA from 1 species
UUUCCGGUUGAUCCUGCCGGACCAAACUGCUAUCAGAGUUCGACUAAGCCAUGCAAGUCUUUCCGUAAGGAAGGCGAAAUGCUGAGUAACACGUGGGCAAUCUGCCCUUAGGCAGGGGAUAACCUCGGGAAACUGAGGAUAAUACCCUAUAGGUUUAAAAUACUGGAAUGUAUUUAAACCAAAAGCUUCGGCGCCUAAGGAUGAGCCCGCGACCUAUCAGGUAGUUGGUAGUGUAAUGGACUACCAAGCCAAAGACGGGUAGGGGCAGUGAGAGCUGAAGCCCCCAGACGGGAACUGAGACACGGUCCCGAGCCCUACGGGGUGCAGCAGGCGCGAAACCUCCGCAAUGCACGCAAGUGUGACGGGGGGACUCUGAGUGUUUUCGAUUUUUUCGUAAACUUUUCUGAAGCGUAAAUAACUUUAGGAAUAAGAGCUGGGUAAGACGGGUGCCAGCCGCCGCGGUAAUACCCGCAGCUCAAGUUGUUUGGACUAUUAUUGGGUCUAAAGCGUUCGUAGCCGGAGAGACAAGUUCUUUGUGAAAUCCAACAACUUAAUUGUUGGACGUGCAGGGAAUACUAUCUUUCUUGGGACCGGGAUGGGCCAAGGGUACUUUUGGGGUAGGGGUGAAAUCCAAUAAUCCUAAAGGGACCACCUGUGGCGAAGGCGCUUGGCUAAAACGGGUCCGACGGUGAGGAACGAAAGCUAGGGGAGCGAACGGGAUUAGAUACCCCGGUAGUCCUAGCUGUAAAUGAUGCAAAUUAGGUGUUGCGCACUCUUCGUGAGUAUGCAGUGCCGAAGGGAAGCCGUUAAAUUUGCCACCUGGGAAGUACGGUCGCAAGGCUGAAACUUAAAGGAAUUGACGGGGGAGCACAACAAGGGGUGGAGCUUGCGGUUUAAUUGGAUAAUACUCCGGAAAUCUCACCAGGAGCGACAGCAGUAUGAAAGCCAGGUUGACGAUCUUGCUAGACUUGCUGAGAGGUGGUGCAUGGCCGCCGUCAGUUCGUGCCGUAAGGUGUUCUGUUAAGUCAGACAACGAACAAGACCCACGCCAUUAGUUGCUAGUCAUUCUUUCGAGGGUGAUGCACUCUAAUGGGACCGCUGGUGAUAAAUCAGAGGAAGGGGUGGGCAACGGUAGGUCAGUAUGCCCCGAAUCUUUUGGGCUACACGCGAGCUACAGUGGCUGGAACAAUGAGCUGCGACGCCGAAAGGCGAAGCCAAUCCCUAAAUCCAGCCUAGGUUCGGAUCGAGGGCUGUAACUCGCCCUCGUGAAGCCGGAAUCCCUAGUAAUCGGAGUUCAAUAGGCUCCGGUGAAUAUGUCCCUGCUCCUUGUACACACCGCCCGUCAAAUCACCUGAGUUGGG